GCCCCUGUAUCCCAAUUGGUAGAGGAGACAGCCUCAAAAUCUGUACAGUGUGGGUUCGAGUCCCACCGGGGGCACC
rnacentral:tRNA from 15 species